AACGAACGCUGGCGGCAUGCCUAACACAUGCAAGUCGAACGAAGCCUUCGGGCUUAGUGGCGCACGGGUGCGUAACGCGUGGGAAUCUGCCCUGGGUGCGGAAUAACUCGGAGAAAUCCGUGCUAAUACCGCAUAAUGUCUUCGGACCAAAGAUUUAUUGCCCUGGGAGUGAGCCCGCGUAGGAUUAGCUAGUUGGUGAGGUAAAGGCUCACCAAGGCGACGAUCCUUAGCUGGUCUGAGAGGAUGAUCAGCCACACUGGGACUGAGACACGGCCCAGACUCCUACGGGAGGCAGCAGUGGGGAAUAUUGGACAAUGGGCGGAAAGCCUGAUCCAGCAAUGCCGCGUGAGUGAUGAAGGCCUUAGGUUGUAAAGCUCUUUUACCCGGGAUGAUAAUGACAGUACCGGGAGAAUAAGCUCCGGCUAACUCCGUGCCAGCAGCCGCGGUAAUG
rnacentral:rRNA from 1 species